UACAGAGGGUGCGAGCGUUAAUCGGAAUUACUGGGCGUAAAGCGUGCGUAGACGGUUUCGUAAGUCGGGUGUGAAAUCCCCGGGCUCAACCUGGGAAUUGCAUUCGAAACUGCGAGGCUAGGGUACGGAAGAGGGAAGCGGAAUUUCUGGUGUAGCGGUGAAAUGCGCAGAUAUCAGGAAGAACACCCGUGGCGAAGGCGGCUCUCUGGGACGGUACUGACGCUGAGACGCGAAAGCGUGGGGAGCGAACAGG
rnacentral:rRNA from 1 species